CAGAAAGUCAGUUUAAAAAAACAUGAGCAUGCAUAACAAUGAAGCUAACGGAAUAUACUGUGAUGAAACAAAGCACUGAUGACAUAAAAAUAGGUAGCAAAAAAUGUUUACAAUAUAGUUCUCAUGUUGUCAUGGUGAAACUUCUGAGUUACAAGGUUGAAGAAGCUGGCAACACAUAAGCAGAUAAGACUACCAUCAACACCAAGGAACUGCUUUACCAGGCCCAUACACAUCCCAAAUGGUUAGAGCCACCUGAGCAUUGCGAGGCAAGUCUGGAUACUUCACAGGCAGUUUCAGCCACUCAUUCCAGCUGCAAGACAACAUGGAACGCAGAUACCUCUGUUGUGAAUAACCAGCAAGCAGUGAAAUCCAAACAUCCAAAAUAAAUUCUAUAUUUGAAAA